AGUGAACGCUGGCGGUAGGCCUAACACAUGCAAGUCGAACGGCAGCACAGUAAGAGCUUGCUCUUACGGGUGGCGAGUGGCAGACGGGUGAGGAAUACAUCGGAAUCUACUUUUUCGUGGGGGAUAACGUAGGGAAACUUACGCUAAUACCGCAUACGACCUACGGGUGAAAGCAGGGGAUCUUCGGACCUUGCGCGAUUGAAUGAGCCGAUGUCGGAUUAGCUAGUUGGCGGGGUAAAGGCCCACCAAGGCGACGAUCCGUAGCUGGUCUGAGAGGAUGAUCAGCCACACUGGAACUGAGACACGGUCCAGACUCCUACGGGAGGCAGCAGUGGGGAAUAUUGGACAAUGGGCGCAAGCCUGAUCCAGCCACACCGCGUGGGUGAAGAAGGCCUUCGGGUUGUAAAGCCCUUUUGUUGGGAAAGAAAAGCAGCAGGUUAAUACCCCGCUGUUCUGACGGUACCCAAAGAAUAAGCACCGGCUAACUUCGUG
rnacentral:rRNA from 1 species